rnacentral:rRNA from 1 species
AUGGAUUUUCUUGAACCAAUGGUAGCCUUAGACGAGACACAUUAUCAAGACGGUUACAAAGAUGGUUAUGAUGAUGGCAAGGUAUCUGGAAAGGAAGAAGGAAGGCAGGUCGGUUUAAAGAUGGGUUUCCAGGUAGGUGAAGAGCUGGGAUUCUAUCAGGGCUGCUUGGAUGUGUGGAUGUCAAUAAUUCGCCUUGAUCAAGGUGCAUUCUCAGCUCGGGUCAGGAAAUACAUGGAGCUUCUAGUUUAUACAUGA